rnacentral:rRNA from 1 species
CAUGUAGGCGGAUUGAUAAGUUUGAAGUGAAAUCCUAUAGCUUAACUAUAGAACUGCUUUGAAAACUGUUAACCUAGAAUGUGGGAGAGGUAGAUGGAAUUUCUGGUGUAGGGGUAAAAUCCGUAGAGAUCAGAAGGAAUACCGAUUGCGAAGGCGAUCUACUGGAACAUUAUUGACGCUGAGAUGCGAAAGCGUGGGGAGCAAACA